rnacentral:piRNA from 1 species
CUCCAAGAAGGCCGUCACCAAAG